AGAGGUGGCAAGCGUUGUUCGGAAUUACUGGGCGUAAAGGGCGCGUAGGCGGUUCGGUAAGUCCUGUGUGAAAUCCCUCGGCUCAACUGAGGAACUGCACGGGAGACUGCCGGGCUUGAGUUCGGGAGAGGGAAGCGGAAUUCCGGGUGUAGCGGUGAAAUGCGUAGAUAUCCGGAGGAACACCGGUGGCGAAGGCGGCUUCCUGGACCGACACUGACGCUGAGGCGCGAAAGCUAGGGGAGCAAACGGGAUUAGAUACCCCGGUAGUCCUAGCUGUAAACGAUGAGUGCUGGGUGUAGGGGGUAUCAACCCCCCCUGUGCCGAAGCUAACGCAUUAAGCACUCCGCCUGGGGAGUACGGUCGCAAGGCUG
rnacentral:rRNA from 1 species